GGUGAGUAACGCGUAGGUAACCUGCCUCAUAGCGGGGGAUAACUAUUGGAAACGAUAGCUAAUACCGCAUAACAGUAUUUACCGCAUGGUAGAUAUUUGAAAGGAGCAAUUGCUUCACUAUGAGAUGGACCUGCGUUGUAUUAGCUAGUUGGUGAGGUAACGGCUCACCAAGGCUUCGAUACAUAGCCGACCUGAGAGGGUGAUCGGCCACACUGGGACUGAGACACGGCCCAGACUCCUACGGGAGGCAGCAGUAGGGAAUCUUCGGCAAUGGGGGCAACCCUGACCGAGCAACGCCGCGUGAGUGAAGAAGGUUUUCGGAUCGUAAAGCUCUGUUGUAAGAGAAGAACUGUGAGAAGAGUGGAAAGUUUCUCACUUGACGGUAUCUUACCAGAAAGGGACGGCUAACUACGUGCCAGCAGCCGCGGUAAUACGUAGGUCCCGAGCGUUGUCCGGAUUUAUUGGGCGUAAAGC
rnacentral:rRNA from 1 species